rnacentral:misc_RNA from 1 species
AAAGUCGUAACAAGGUCUCCGUAGGUGAACCUGCGGAGGGAUCAUUAUUGAAUGGGCCCGCUGGGCCCUUCUACCCCUCAAACCUGUGGAAGCUAUCUGUGCUUCGGCGCCCUUCCGGCGCCGCCUCGACGCAUGAAUCCGUCGUAUGUCUGAAUCAUAUAAGAAUCAAAACUUUCAACAAAGGAUCUCUUGGCUCUC